rnacentral:rRNA from 1 species
AGCUCCAAUAAUGUAUAUUAAAGUUGUUGCGGUUAAAAAGCUCGUAGUUGGAUUUCUGCUGAGGACGACCGGUCCGCCCUCUGGGUGAGUAUCUGGCUCCGCCUUAACAUCUUCUUGAAGAACGCAACUGCACUUGACUGUGUGGUGCGGCAUUCAAGACUUUUACUUUGAGGAAAUUAGAAUGUUUGAAGCAGGCGCAUGCCUUGAAUACAUUAGCAUGGAAUAAUGAGAUAGGACCUUUGUUCUAUUUUGUUUGUUUCUAGAAUUGAAGUAAUGAUUAAUAGGGAUGGUUGGGGGCAUUCGUAUUUAAUUGUCAGAGGUGAAAUUCUUUGAUUUGUUAAAGACGGAGUACUGCGAAAGCAUUUGCCAAGGAUGCUUUCAUUGAUCAAGAACGAAAGUA